ACCUGCUAUAUGGAGUUUGGAAUCCCAUCUCAAUCAGCGCUAUCUGCAUCAAAGAGACACGCAGCCAUGAGUUAAACGAAACUCAGCAACCACUGCAUAAGGAAGGGGCCCAGCUGGGACCCUAAGAAGAAAGAGGUGGAAUUUUGCUGCCCCUAUACAACUAAAUGAGUAUCAAGAUUCUCUGUAAAAUUCAUGAAAAUUAGCACAGACUGUUUGAAACUUAAAUCAAAUGAUCCUUUACAGCUCCCAAAGGGAUUCAGUCCUGGCAAAGAUGCAGCUUUAACAUGUGUACACAUAGUAAACCCUUCUGGCAUGUCAAAAGCAUCUGCCAUCUGAAGACUUGUCAUUUCUCAUUCACCUUCUUUUAAUUAUUCAAAAUUAGCAAAAUAUUUUAAAGCUAAAGUGUCAAACAAAAUGAGUGUCCUUUACAGUCCCAACAAAUAAUCCAAUUCUUAUAUAGCCAAUCAACAUUUUCAACAAUAUUUACUCAAUGAGUGGUUAAGGAAGUGGGAUCUAGAGUCAGAUGUACUGGUAGGAAAUCCUAGUUCACUACCCAUGUGAUCUUGGAGAAAUUAACCCAAGGCUCAGUUACCUCAAAAGUAAAAUGGGAUGAACAUUACCUACUCCAUGUUCACAUGGAGUAGGAGUGGCCCUUAUAU
rnacentral:lncRNA from 1 species